GGGUGGGAAAAUGCCCAGUCAAAACUGUAGAAAGUUCUCUGAAUGUCUCCCUGCUUUGACUUCUUUGGUCUUUCCAUGUGGCUUCACUCAUGCGUGCUGUUUUGGGCUCCCCAGUACAAGGAAGUCAUCAAAAAACAGGAGCAAGUUCAAGAGAGAGCCAUCAAGAUGGUCAGAGGCUGGAGCACGUGUCCUGCGAAGACAAGGGGAGUGGGUUUAUUCAGCCUUGAGAGGAGCCAUCUUCAGGAGGACCUAACAGCAGACUGUCAGUGCCACUGAGGAGGGUAUCAGGAAGAUGGCACCAAGCCACCAGGUAUGGUGGAAGGACAAGAGACAAUGGACAGAAACUGAAACAAGGACGGUUGUAUCCAAGUGGAUACCAGGAAAAGCUGUUUCACCCUGAGGGCUGUGAGGCAGUGGAAGAGGGUGCACGGAGAGGAUGUGUCAUCUCUAUGCUUGGAGGUUUUCAAGAUCUGUCUAGAUAAAGCUUGAAGCAACAUCAUCUGAUCUCACAGCUGAGCCUGUUGUAAGCAGGAUGAUAUAUCUAACGUGAUUUACCCUCUGAUUCAUGCUGGAUAUAAGGGAAUCUCUACUUUCUUCUGACCUCCUUAAAGCACUGGGGUGAAGCUUUUCUUUUCUGCAGCUCUGAGUCCAAGGUGGCAAAGACAGAAGACAAGACCUGGAUUCAAAUCUCUUGUCCAAACCAAGCAGUGGGAGGACCUGAGCAAGCUUGGGAGGACACUUGCACCUGGCACCUUCUUCUUCACAUGGCAUUUGCUCCCAGGCUUUUAUGCUACAAACAGGAAGGAAUGGACAUCAUCAUGGGCAUCACAUACAUUUCAUAGAUAAAGGCCUUGCUAACUUGCUUACUUGAAGGCGGAAAUUAAUUAGAAGCUAAGUUACACAAGGAUGGUUUUAAGAGAAAGCGCGCAACUCUUCAAGGCUGAUGAGAGUUUUGUAAAUGACUGAAGGCUUGCUGGUGCAUGGUCCAAACCACCAACAAAGUUCUCUGAAAAUGAGAUGUUUUUCUUUCUGAAUAGAAACAGCAGAGUCUUUCUGGCAUUUAGAUUUCUCUACAGCUUUUCACACUGCUAAUUUUAAUCCAGUAAAUUAUCUGGAAGAAAACAGUAUGCAGCCUAAAAACUGUUCAAAAUUCACUCCAACAUUGAGCACAUUAUGGACGUAAUGAUCCAUUACAACCAAACUUCAGGAAGGUCUUGCAAGAAAACUGAGAAUUAAACAAAGAAAUAUGGAGACUAUCAUCAUUAUUUAUCAGAUAUAUUUAUUAAUAGUUUAGAAUUGUAUAUACAUAGAGCAACUUUUAAAUAAUUAGAUCUACUCUUAUAUGUUUUUUUGUGAAGUUUUCUUAAAUUCUUUCCCUGUUAAAUCUGAUGCUUAUCAUUAUUUUUGUUCUAUGUAUAUUUUAACCAGUUAAGGAAUCUGAAUUCUGUCUUUUGAAUACAACAGACAUCUGCUUAUUUUAACUAUCACUUAGAAAAUAAUUCUUGGGAAUGUCACUUGGGCUUGUAAACUAUACAGUAUUAAUCCUAGUUUGCACUUAAGCAUGUGUAUAAAUGGGAUUGUGUGUAUAUAUGUAUAUACUGAUUCCAAGGCUCCAAAGCUACUGCUGUAAUUAAAUCUUUAUAUCUAUUUGUGAAUAUUUUGUUUCUGUUUCUGUCACUCUAGCACUGUAAUGCAUUUGCAUUUCAGUUAAUAUGACUAAAGUAUCUAAGAGUAUAUGUGCUGUACAUUGUAUAUGUACCCUGAAACACGGAAUAAUAACAACAUGAAUCAGAAAGGCUGGUUCUUAGACCCCUAUGAUUAGGUUAUUCCUCUGCAUACUCCUUUGUUGUUUCUAGCAGCAAAAGAAUGAAUGGUCAUCUGAAAUGAGGUAAUAUAAUCAAGUACAAUCACCAGAAGGUAGCAAUACAAAGAAUUUGUGGGUAUAAAGUUUUAUAUAAUAUGAUACAAAAGAAUAAUAUUAGGUAUACAGUUGUUAUCUAAUUUAUGUAAUAUGUGAGCGUAAGGAAACCCAUUAUAUCAGGAGAAUUAUCUGCAAACCUUUAUGACCAGCAGAGUCUGUCCUUGCUUCCUAUUUCUUUCUUUGGAGAUUCUGCUGCUGAAGAAGGUUCAUGGCCAGGCACACCUGCUCUCAGCUCCCUGCAAUCUUCAGCCGCUUGUUGGCUUGUUAUCCCAGGGUAGCCCUGAGCUAUCUCUGGGAGGUGUGCCUCCAUCCCUGGAAAAAUGUUCAGUUAA